rnacentral:rRNA from 1 species
GAGAGUUUGAAUCCUGGCUCAGGAUGAACGCUAGCGGGAGGCCUAACACAUGCAAGCCGAGCGGUAGAGAUCUUUCGGGAUCUUGAGAGCGGCGUACGGGUGCGGAACACGUGUGCAACCUGCCUUUAUCUGGGGGAUAGCCUUUCGAAAGGAAGAUUAAUACCCCAUAAUAUAUUGAGUGGCAUCACUUAAUAUUGAAAACUCCGGUGGAUAGAGAUGGGCACGCGCAAGAUUAGAUAGUUGGUGAGGUAACGGCUCACCAAGUCAACGAUCUUUAGGGGGCCUGAGAGGGUGAUCCCCCACACUGGUACUGAGACACGGACCAGACUCCUACGGGAGGCAGCAGUGAGGAAUAUUGGACAAUGGGUGAGAGCCUGAUCCAGCCAUCCCGCGUGAAGGACGACGGCCCUAUGGGUUGUAAACUUCUUUUGUAUAGGGAUAAACCUACCCUCGUGAGGGUAGCUGAAGGUACUAUACGAAUAAGCACCGGCUAACUCCGUGCCAGCAGCCGCGGUAAUACGGAGGGUGCAAGCGUUAUCCGGAUUUAUUGGGUUUAAAGGGUCCGUAGGCGGAUUUGUAAGUCAGUGGUGAAAUCUCACAGCUUAACUGUGAAACUGCCAUUGAUACUGCAAGUCUUGAGUGUUGUUGAAGUAGCUGGAAUAAGUAGUGUAGCGGUGAAAUGCAUAGAUAUUACUUAGAACACCAAUUGCGAAGGCAGGUUACUAAGCAACAACUGACGCUGAUGGACGAAAGCGUGGGGAGCGAACAGGAUUAGAUACCCUGGUAGUCCACGCCGUAAACGAUGCUAACUCGUUUUUGGUAUUUCGGUAUCAGAGACUAAGCGAAAGUGAUAAGUUAGCCACCUGGGGAGUACGAACGCAAGUUUGAAACUCAAAGGAAUUGACGGGGGCCCGCACAAGCGGUGGAUUAUGUGGUUUAAUUCGAUGAUACGCGAGGAACCUUACCAAGGCUUAAAUGGGAAAUGACAGGCUUAGAAAUAGGCUAUUCUUCGGACAUUUUUCAAGGUGCUGCAUGGUUGUCGUCAGCUCGUGCCGUGAGGUGUUAGGUUAAGUCCUGCAACGAGCGCAACCCCUGUCACUAGUUGCCAUCAUUAAGUUGGGGACUCUAGUGAGACUGCCUACGCAAGUAGAGAGGAAGGUGGGGAUGACGUCAAAUCAUCACGGCCCUUACGCCUUGGGCCACACACGUAAUACAAUGGCCGGUACAGAGGGCAGCUACACUGCGAAGUGAUGCAAAUCUCGAAAGCCGGUCUCAGUUCGGAUUGGAGUCUGCAACUCGACUCUAUGAAGCUGGAAUCUGCUAGUAAUCGCGCAUGACG